UAAACGACGUGGGGGAACCGUGCCCUAUACAGGGGAGUAACAGCUGGAAACGGGUGCUAAUACCGCAUAAGCGCACAGAAUCGCAUGAUUCAGUGUGAAAAGCCCUGGCAGUAUAGGAUGGUCCCGCGUCUGAUUAGCUGGUUGGUGAGGUAACGGCUCACCAAGGCGACGAUCAGUAGCCGGCUUGAGAGAGUGAACGGCCACAUUGGGACUGAGACACGGCCCAA
rnacentral:rRNA from 1 species